rnacentral:misc_RNA from 1 species
CCGAGUUUACAACUCCCAAACCCAAUGUGAACCAGUACCAAACUGUUGCCUCGGCGGGGUCACGCCCCGGGUGCGUCUAAAGCCCCGGAACCAGGCGCCCGCCGGAGGAACCAACCAAACUCUUUCUGUAGUCCCCUCGCGGACGUAUUUCUUACAGCUCUGAGGCAAAAAUUCAAAAUGAAUCA